UACGGGGGGGGCAAGCGUUGUUCGGAAUUACUGGGCGUAAAGGGCUCGUAGGCGGCCAACUAAGUCAGACGUGAAAUCCCUCGGCUUAACCGGGGAACUGCGUCUGAUACUGGAUGGCUAGAGGUUGGGAGAGGGAUGCGGAAUUCCAGGUGUAGCGGUGAAAUGCGUAGAUAUCUGGAGGAACACCGGUGGCGAAGGCGGCAUCCUGGACCGGCAUUGACGCUGAGGAGCGAAAGCCAGGGGAGCAAACGGG
rnacentral:rRNA from 1 species